CUCUGCACAGCGGCUGCCCCGGCAGUGCGCAGCUCUGAGGCGCAGGGACGGCUGCACGGACCGGAAAUCUCUCUUUUCGUCCCGGGGACGGUCAGGAGAGCAGUGUGCUCUGCCAAACCUAAACCUAAACAACAUUUCUUCUUGAUUUAAUCUGCAAAGAAUAGGUCGGCAAUGAUUAAGAUUAAGAUGGCUGACUGGAAUUAUCAAGACUGGUAUACCUGAUGAUUUCAGGCCAUGGCUGCAAACUACUGAUGCAAAAUGUAGGUCUUCAUCUGCCGUUCAGAGCUUGAGCUGAGUGUGAGCUGUUGGAGAUGAGAGAUGUCAGAUUACAAGUCUCUCUUCUGUUAAUCUGAAGCCUCGGUCAUUUUGUCAGAUUUCCUCACCUCACUGUAAACCAGAUGUGUCAGAGAGUCUCUCUGUAGCUGUAGUAAGGCUUGGAUACGCCACAGCAGCAAAGGAACAAAAACUGGUUUCAGGUUCUUCUUAACUGGUUUACUGAGCCGGUCAAAUGAUCAGACAGGCAGAGGGAUGUGUAGUUUCAGUGUGUUGGUUGAGCUGUUGGAUCACCAUUCAGAAGAACCAUCACUCCCUGCCAGAUCUGUGUGGUCAAGUUCUUGUCCCAUUGGAAAAUUUGACCCAACCCAUCAUUAAUUAAAUCUACAAUAUGCCAGGAAAAUGUCUCCACCUAAUCAUUCAAAUUUAUCUUUGAAAUUUGGCCUGAAUAUGAACUUCAUGCUUUUUAUGACAGAUUUUUUCCAAAUAUGUAUUCUUCAAAGCCAGCAUCAAAAAACUGUCACAAUAAAUUAUUGAAGUGUU